AUACGGAGGGGGUUAGCGUUGUUCGGAAUUACUGGGCGUAAAGCGCACGUAGGCGGAUUAGUAAGUUAGAGGUGAAAUCCCAGGGCUCAACCCUGGAACUGCCUUUAAUACUGCUAGUCUUGAGUUCGAGAGAGGUAAGUGGAAUUCCUAGUGUAGAGGUGAAAUUCGUAGAUAUUAGGAGGAACACCAGUGGCGAAGGCGGCUUACUGGCUCGAUACUGACGCUGAGGUGCGAAAGCGUGGGGAGCAAACAGGAUUAGAAACCCGAGUAGUCC
rnacentral:rRNA from 1 species